UACGGAGGGGGCGAGCGUUAUUCGGAAUUAUUGGGCGUAAAGGGCGCGUAGGCGGCCCGGUAAGUCAAAGGUGAAAUCCCUCGGCUCAACUGAGGAACUGCCUUUGAAACUGUCGGGCUUGAGGCCGGGAGAGGUGAGUGGAAUUCCCAGUGUAGCGGUGAAAUGCGUAGAUAUUGGGAGGAACACCAGUGGCGAAGGCGGCUCACUGGACCGGUUCUGACGCUGAGGCGCGAAAGCGUGGGGAGCAAACGGG
rnacentral:rRNA from 1 species